rnacentral:misc_RNA from 1 species
GAUGAAGAACGUAGCGAAAUGCGAUAAGUAGUGUGAAUUGCAGAAUUCAGUGAAUCAUCGAAUCUUUGAACGCACAUUGCGCCCUUCGGUAUUCCGUUGGGCAUGCCUGUUCGAGCGUCAUUUCAACCCUCAAGCUCUGCUUGGUGUUGGGCCCUGCCCGCUGCGGCCGGCCCUAAAGACAGUGGCGGUGCCGCCUGGCCCUGAGCGUAGUACAUCUCUCGCUCCAGUGCCCGGUGGUAGCCUGCCAGAACCCCAACUCUCGUGGUUGACCUCGGAUCAGGUAGGGAUACCCGCUGAACUUAAGCAUAUCAAUAAGCGGAGGA